CACCUUCUUGUACUGCAAACAAGAAUAACUACCAAUAGAGUGCUAAAGGGAACAGUCUCGGAGUAGAAGACAUAUCACACAGUGUUAAAUCACAUCAUUAAUAUGAAUAUACGGCUCCUAGUUUUGGUAACUUGGAUCUGGUUCUGUAUAUAUAGCACAAAUGGAGACAUGGAAGAUUGCUGCCUAUCCUAUGCCAAAUUGCGAAAUCACAGAACUUUACAUAAACACAUCCGAUAUUACCAUUUACAAGACAUCAGUGAAAGCUGUAACAUUAGGGCAAUUGUAUUUCAUUUGAGAAAACAUAAGAGAGUCCUUUGUGCCAAUCCUCAAGAAGAAUGGGUGCAUGUCUUAAUAAAGAAAGUUGACAGAAUGCAAAUUUUUAAACUCAGAAAUUCCUCAAUGUCUUGAACAUGCUGGGAAAAGGCAGUCUCACAAAUAAUUCUGAACUGCAGACUGAAUAAAAGAAAAAAAAUUAAAUAUACUUUCUUAAAACUUAA